UAGAUACCCUGGUAGUCCACGCCGUAAACGAUGUCGACUAGCCGUUGGGACCUUUAAGGACUUAGUGGCGCAGUUAACGCGAUAAGUCGACCGCCUGGGGAGUACGGCCGCAAGGUUAAAACUCAAAUGAAUUGACGGGGGCCCGCACAAGCGGUGGAGCAUGUGGUUUAAUUCGAUGCAACGCGAAGAACCUUACCUACCCUUGACAUCCAGAGAAGUUGGCAGAGAUGCCUUCGUGCCUUCGGGAGCUCUGAGACAGGUGCUGCAUGGCUGUCGUCAGCUCGUGUUGUGAAAUGUUGGGUUAAGUCCCGUAACGAGCGCAACCCUUGUCCUUAUUUGCCAGCAAGUAAUGGCGGGAACUCUAAGGAGACUGCCGGUGACAAACCGGAGGAAGGUGGGGACGACGUCAAGUCAUCAUGGCCCUUACGGGUAGGGCUACACACGUGCUACAAUGGCCGGUACAAAGGGCUGCGAGAUCGCGAGAUGGAGCGAAUCCCAGAAAGCCGGCCUCAGUUCGGAUCGGAGUCUGCAACUCGACUCCGUGAAGUCGGAAUCGCUAGUAAUCGUGAAUCAGAAUGUCACGGUGAAUACGUUCCCGGGCCUUGUACACACCGCCCGUCACACCAUGGGAGUGGACUGCACCAGAAGUGGUUAGCUUAACCUUCGGGAGAGCGAUCACCACGGUGUGGUUCAUGACUGGGGUGAAGUCGUAACAAGGUAGCCGUAGGGGAACCAGCGGCUGGAUCACCUCCUUAAACGACCAGCUUA
rnacentral:rRNA from 1 species